rnacentral:lncRNA from 1 species
CAAAUGAAGACUUAGCCCUAGACCAGCCUGAUUGGUUGCAGGAGGGGACUAAUCAGAGGUAUUUUCAAUUUUUCAUCUGCCACUCAGAAAAAAGGGAGAGGGGUUGCAAAGAGAGUAGCCUCUGGUCCUUUGGUUAUUUGGGCAUGGAAAGUUGGGGUUUUCCUUUUGAUUUAGUUCUAGGAAGUCAGCGUGAAUCAGCCUUAGGUUCCCCGCCUCCAGACCCUCUUCUCCUGCCUCAGCCGUGGUUUAAACCAAACAUGCAGCGUAUUGUCUGCCUACCUCAAGGAAGGCCGUCCAAAGGCUCUCUGGGCGGCUAGGACAUCUCUGUGUUUGGACUUCCCGGUCUCUUUCUUCCCUUCUCCCUCACCAGCCAACCCUGGUGCUUACUUUCCAUCCUUAUGACAAACUCCUGGCACGAUAGGGUGGCCAGUGCUCUAGCGGUUACUCCCAACCUUGCAGGCAGUCAGACGCCGAAGAGCUGGAGGACAAAGGAAACACCCGCUGCCCCUACUCCUCUCAUCCUUCUAGGCAGCUCUCCCGGCGUCACCUGGACAUUGCUUUCAUCAGAGGCUGCUUUGAGGAAAGGAGGGGGGUCGCUCUUAGCUGUUGGCAGCUGGAUCCGUCGGUUCUGGUGCUCUGUGGCCAGAACCUUUGAACCUUCUCAUAGGACUUGCAGUAAAACUUGCUUACGAAGAACUGCACAUGAGCCAUCAAACCCAGAAACCCGCUGGGUGGACACUGGUGUGACCUGAAAACAGAAGGGCCACGCAGCACGGGCUCCACCUGAAACCGGCACCCCCUGUGCUGAAAGAAGAAUCGGACAAAGGCAAGAGCUGCAGGUGCACGCGGGACGCCCCUGCCCGUGACACGGCCACAGAAAUCUCCAGAACACAUCCACAGCAUCUCACACGAGGGGUGCGGCCUUCCCUCGGCCCCGUCAGGACGCAUUUAGGCAAGCAGGCAGGUCAUUUGUAGAAUGGACGGCCGCCAAUGGCGCAGAGGAAGAGCCUCGAGACAUGAUGAUUUGGUUUUAGAUGUAGGGGAGUUGCUCCUGUACUGUUUGUUUGGACUCAAUUAAUAGUAAAUGAUGCAAAGUUGUUUCACGUCCCCAGCCUCGCCUUCUACUUUUCCUUCUUCUGCUCUGGAAUGCCGUCAAUGCCGGCCCUGUGUGCAGCUUGCCUCUUUCUGUGCUGGUCCUGGGAGGUCUUCCCAGCACGCACCCCCACCCAACUCCCCCUUGGGGUCCCUUCCCAUGAGGGUCACCUGGGACGGCAUGUUUCUGGGGCUAGGUGGCGGCUGGAGCAGGGCAGGGAGCCAAGCUGGGGGGUCAGAUGGGGCAGGGCCUGGAGGCUGGGCAUGGGUGGGCGUGGUCCCAAAGGUGACGGGAAGCCCUAUGGGUGCUUCCAGGGGUCAUCCGGCCCCAUGUGUGGAACAGACGGCAGGAACCAGGACUGCGGCAGG